GAGCUGGAGAAUUUCAGCCAGACUGGUGAGUUUUUGUUUCUGCAGCGGCUCCAAUCUUAACAUGCCGUGAUUUUUUCCGGUUAGUUUGACAUGCUGUGGUUUACUAUUCUGGUCAGAGUUAUGAAUUCAAUCUUGUUGAAGUUUCUAUUGAAUGAGAACAGUCCUAAAGUCUUGCCUUAGUUUUUUGAUGGUGCGAACAGUGAAUUCAUUCUCUUUCAAUUUCAUUAAAUGGCAGCAUGCUUGUUGAACGCUUUGCCUUGGUCCACUUAAACGUCUCAUGCUUCUACAAUUCUUUUCUAUGUCGGUAGGAUUAAAUAUGUCUUCUGUUUUUUAAGGGUGAAUCAUGGUAGGAUUUUAGGGGAGGUGGGUUUGAAAGGAACGCAAGUGAAUGACGAGGAUUUAUUUAAAAAAUAUAUAUAAAGAGGAUUUUGAAGCACAAUUGCUUGGGGUUUCUAAAACUCUAUAUAUUUUCAAUUCGUUUGUAAUAUUCGGACCUUGUCAUGGAAGGAGGGUUGUGUGCCUUCCCUUCAUCGCUCAUUCUCUUCAAGAUUGAUGGAGAAGUUUGCUGAAUCUUGUAUGCCUCUAUAAUGAAUCUUGAAAUAAUAAGGUCCACCUAAUUUAUGUUCUUUUUUUUCACGCAAUUAUCUACCUCAUCAUUUACGUUCUAUCAUCUUACCCGUGCUGUCUGUCUUUCCAUGUUCCAGUUAGAGUUCUGUCAACUUUCUAACCAUCAAGCCGGUAAGUUUCAUACGAGCUGGUGUAGUUAUAAAAUCUCAUUCCAACAGCAUGUCCUACCAACCUUCUACAUGCUGCAGAGAACAGUCAAACUGAAUCCUGAAUCGGGUUUCACAA
rnacentral:lncRNA from 1 species